GGAGGAUACUCAGCGGGGUUGUCUGGCCAAGACCCUCUCAGCCAAGGGUGCAGUGACCCAGUCCCCCACUCUCAGGGCUGGAGUCUGACUUCGAGAAUCAGGGGUCAUCCAUUCUGGAACCAGAACAGAAACCUCUGAGCCUGUCCGGGAUGUGAAGUCAACAUAUAUAAAGCCAGAACAUUCUAUCCUUGGCCCAGGUGAUGCUCUUGGAACACAGCAAGCAAACACAAGCACCCAAGUAGGUA
rnacentral:lncRNA from 1 species